AAUAAAAAUAUCUUUGGUUGGGGCAACCACGAAGAAAAAAAAACCUUUGUCUAAAAAAAGAAUUUACAAAUUUAAAAUUUUUAAAAAAAAAGAUCCAGAAAAUACUGAUCAAAGAAAAAAGUUACCGCAGGGAUAACAGCGUUAUUCUCUUUAAGAGUUCAUAUUGACAAGAGAGUUUGCGACCUCGAUGUUGGACCGGGGCACCCAAGAGGUGCAACAGCCUCUAAAGGUAGGUCUGUUCGACCUUUAAAGCCCUACGCGAUCUGAGUUCAGACCGACGCAAGUCAGGUCAGUUUCUAUCUA
rnacentral:rRNA from 1 species